CGGGUGAGUAAUGCGUGACCAACCUGCCCCAUGCUCCAGAAUAGCUCUUGGAAACGGGUGGUAAUGCUGGAUGCUCCAACUUGACGCAUGUCUUGUUGGGAAAGUGUUUAGUGGCAUGGGAUGGGGUCGCGUCCUAUCAGCUUGUAGGCGGGGUAAUGGCCCACCUAGGCUUCGACGGGUAGCCGGCCUGAGAGGGUGGACGGCCACAUUGGGACUGAGAUACGGCCCAGACUCCUACGGGAGGCAGCAGCU
rnacentral:rRNA from 1 species